GAAACACCCGUUCCCAUUCCGAACACGGCAGUUAAGCCCGCCAGCGCCGAUGGUACUUGGGGGGUGACCCCCUGGGAGAGUAGGACGCCGCCGGGA
rnacentral:rRNA from 1 species